GUGUUGUUUUUCUUAAAAAUACAAACGAAAUGUUGCUGAAAUUUCGAAUUUUUGUUAUUCCAUUUUUCGUUCCAUGCCUCCCACCCAAACACUGGAACGGAACCAUCCCGUUCCACUUUUUUGCUCGUACCAAACACAGGAAUGGAACCGACCCGUUCCUCUGGAAUGGAACCAUUCCAUUCCAUGACAGUUGGUUCUCCAACCAAACACACCCUAGUGAACCACCAUGGAGGUCCUCGGCCCGCCCUAUUGGUCCGGAGACAACGUGGUGAGUACCCCCCGCUCCACGACACCAUCACUCACCCCCAUCAGCUUCUUCUGUUACAUGAACAGUAGACCCAUCUAAGCCUACCAUAGUUUCAACUCUCCCAACACAGACUCUCUUACAUGACACGUUCAUAGCCAAAUAGCCCCUAGCCUCUAAACUAUCAGUACUAGUGGUGGUCAUGCUGAGGAUUAGGUCUUGAUCUUCUUGAGGGCGCCUCGUGCAGCCAACCAUGCUCUCAAGCAUGGCUGUGAAAUCCGCCUUGCGACUGGAUAGCUCGCUGCCGCUGUUUGGAGGAGUGGGCACACCAACCGCAUCUUUAACACGCGCGAACUGCACCAUAGCUGUUGAUGCCGCCUCCUCGUAGCGCUGCUUCUUCUUCUUCUACCUCUCUAUUCUUUCAGCCCAAGGAAUCUCUCAAGACACUCUGAUGAACACAAGAACACACACAUGUGCCAAGGAUGAAAGCCAACCAGCUUUGCCGAGGUACUCUCCCUUGGGAACCACAAGUGCUACAUCUUUUCUCCUCAUCCACAAUUCACAACAUGCAAUUACACGGCUUAAAUAGCCGGACACUCACGGCCAAAACGCAGCCACUAACCCAUUACUAACUAUUAUGCACACACGCAUCCACUACUUGCAUGCAUGCACUCUCAUAACGGUCCAGCCACACACAACGGCUUAGUUUCGAUUACUACUUCACUUAGCUAGCUACAAACAUACAUGUUUGAGUCACUUGCAGGUCUAUCAGAUAACAAACUAGGAGCAAACUUUGCGUAGGCCACAAUUACUACGCCCACUUCUUUCUCCAUAUCUAUCUGGUACGCGACUUGCCGCUCGGACUCCGUGGAACGUAAUGCAUGCAGUUAACUAAUAUAAUCUAAUCCUAUGAAUGUAAUACUAAUAACAAAAUUAGUUCCAACAAUAGCCUUCUCAUCUUGCUCUUGUCGAUGCAGCCUUUUCCACCUCUUGACACCACCAGCAGCCAUAUCACUCCGCUGGGCACCACCAGCAGCAGCGCCUUCAUAGCCAUCCCGAGCAACAGCCGCUGCCUGCAUUUGCACACACACAACAACUUCUAGCGACUGCAUAGGCACAACAGCAGUAGCUGACUCCUGGAUGUGCGUUUGCAUAAGCGCAUCAGCCUCAACACACACCUGCCCACCCAGGCCCAGUAUAUGUACAGGACCAUCAUCCGCUUCCUUGUCCUUCGUGAGCACCGCAACAGUAGCUUUAGGUAACCCAGGAGCGACCCACAGCAAUCCACUUAUAUUUGGUUGUACUUGAAUUUGAGCACGCGACCUCACAGCAAUGGUGUUGGCUAGCACCAGCAAACAAAUACAAUCAUUUCAUUGAUAGGUGAUACUAAAGUUAUGACCUAGUAUUAUAUCAUUCUCAACUGCGAUCGAACCAAACGGUGCUCGUCGGAAUAUUUAAGACGAAAAUUAGUGCUGCAGUUUAGGAACUAGUUAGCGGGCCGCUGAUUGAGCCCAGAGCUAUGGCGUGUUUGCCGGCACGGACGCAAGGAGUUGAGCCGGUGAUUCGGAGACGAAGAUGGGUGGAUCGCGAGGGGAUUCUUCUGGGCAAGAUGCAUCGUGAACUGCUAUCAUGAGAACUGAAAUACAAAUUAAUACGGAUAAUAAUAAGUAAUAACACAAGGACGUGAAUUAUCAUUUUGAAGAACUGUCCUCGAGCCAAACUUUGAUCCCAUCCAUACUAGUAGAACAACCGUGCGUUGCCACGGGCCAGCAAAUGGAUCUAUCACGAGCCCCUCAACGUUAGCUCUUCAAUCAUAGUGUCAAUACUUCGCUAUGUUGUCACGUCAAUCCAAAUCCGUCUGAUGUUCCCUCCAAGUCUAGAAAAUUGUUGAUUUCCGUCGUACUGCUUGGCUUAAAUCUACAUUUCCACCCAGCUCAAAUUAACAUGUGUUUUCUUCAAGUUCGCCAAAUUGCCAUAGGCAUUUCCAUCAUCCCUAAAAUGUCUUCCAACAUUCGUCAUACACUCCCUCUAAAAGUUAUGUCAAAUUAAACAAUUUUCUCAUAUAAUUUUGCAAUGUACAACAAAAAUCCCAAAUUAAUGUCAUACAAUUUCCCCAUAAUUGUUUUAGUUAAAAUAGCAAUCCGGAUGCGAUGCUAACAAUCUAUCACCAGUUUAGUAAAUAUAUGGCAUGAAAACUAAAGCCAAAACUAAGAAUGGACUAAAUAAAUUUAAUACUUCAAAUAAGCAAAGAAACUAAUUUAUGUUCUCAACUUAGGUGUCAAUUAUACCUAAAUUGCUUAUGCCUUGCAACAUGGACGUAUGUAUUGUUGUGGUUCAACAUUAACUAUGUCAAAUAUAUAUCUUUGGAAGCUCCACAAACACAUCACAUGAUAUAUUUUAAUGAAACAUGACCAAGCUUUUUGUACCACAAAAUCAUUCUUCUUCUUCGGCCACUAUUCUCUCCUCCUGAAUCUAAGCAACUAUUGUAAAACCAAUGACUGGAUUUUGAUAAAGCACCAUUUAUCAAAAAAACAUAUAGGGAUAAAUUUCAUUGUAUAUAACUCAAACAAAGCCAACUAAGUGAAGAAGUUAAGGAGGAACAAAAUAGGCAUCAAGUAAGCUCUACUUAUACUAUUAUACAACUGGAUGUUAUGUGUGUGGUGCAAUACUACCACGAAUCAAGUAGUUGUUAUGAUUUUGUGAGUUAUUUGGAGGUCACAUCUUAAGUGAAGUUUGAGUUAACUUCUCCCAAGCACUCCUUUCUCCUUGUUUUUUUGCUCCCAUGAGCUCUCCCUUCCUACUAUAUAGUUAAAUUAGUCCAAUAGUACUACUAUUUUUUUAAUAACAAGGUAAUUUUAGUAUAAUAAGUCAAUAUCUUCACAAAAUUUCAUUAUGAGAGUAUAUUUUAAUAGGUUUAGAAAUAAUUCGGUAAAAGCCAAAAUUUCAAUGUCCCUAGAAAUUAGUAACAACCCUCUAUUUGUCACCAUUUAAAACUUUUUUAGAAAUUAUUAACAAACUAUGACUAACCAUAACAAAUUAAUCAUAUCCAUGAACAAAAGAUAUUUACUAUGUAUUAAUUUUCGUUAAGUGGUGUGGCAAGGAGGCCAGAAAACAAGAGGGG
rnacentral:lncRNA from 1 species